AACCGGAUGCACCUGAGCUCAAUUUCGUGUUUCAUAGCAAAGGUUCUGAAUACUUAUGUAAAUAAGGUAUUUCUGUAGUUCUUUUUAUUCUAAAAACCUGUUUUUGUUUAGUCAUUAUGGGGGUAUUGUGUCUAGAUUGCUAAGGAAAAACUGUGCGCUGUGUACACUGUGUGAAUCUGAUUCCUACGUUUUUGUUUAGCUAUCCAUCCCCACACUUCUCUUUUGUAAGUGUUUGUCUUUCUUAUAGUAAUUUACGGAUGCAGUCAUAAAUGAACAAUAAUCCAAUGCCACAUGUAUUACGGGGUGGGGUAUAGGUUAAACCAUUUGACCUGCGUGCAUUUCUCUGGCAUUCAUUCCAGUCAUAAAUGAUAUACUUUAGAUUACACUUCUGUGAAGGGUUAAUAAAAAGGGGAGGGUUUAAUGUACAAAUCAGAAUCCCUUCAUUAUAUUACAUCAUCCGCAAAAUUUGUUUAGGAGCAAGGCAAAUCUUCAAUCAUUAACUGUUUUUCUAAUUUACUUUCUCAAAUUUGGUUUGGAUGGGAUUCGAAGUUAUGCUGAAAGGAAUAUUAAAGGUGAAAAAUAGUCUUUCAUCCUAUCUCAAUCCGAAACUGACAGGCCACGGUCGUCUGCGGCAGCGAGUAGCCUAAGGUUUCGGGGCUCGACUCGCUCUUUCUUCAAGCAAAGCGGUUUUGCGAUCGGGGAAGCCCUUAUAAAACUACACUGCAUCAGAUAGGCUAUAACCAGACUGCAUCAGGCACCAUAUUUUGCAGCUGGGGAGUAAAGCCUAUUGUACGAAUGAUGCACCAGCACCUGUUGAACCCUGAAAUGAAGAUGGACAAAGGAAAACAGGAUUGUGUCCUCGGUGAUCCCCAGUUUCCUUGCGUGGCAUCAUCCACCCGCCGUGUUGCUGCAAGGGAAAUGCCUUUCUUUUAUAUUUCCCUCUGAUCAAAUGAAAAUGAAUAAGAGACCAGAGGAGAUAGCAUACGUGACAAUCCAGAGUUUUAUUUUUUAUUUGAUUUUUUUCACCUUUAUUUAACCAGGUACGCCAGUUGAGAAAAAAAUCUCAUUUACAACUGCGACCUGGCCAAGAUAAAGCAAAGCAGGGCGACACAAACAACAACACGGAGUUACACAUGGGAUAAACAAACGUACAGUCAAUAACACAAUAGAAAAGCAAAAAAUAGGCCGUAGUGGCGAAAUAAUUACAAUUUCGCAAAAUAAACACUGGAGUGAGAGAUGUGCAGGAGAUGAAUUGUAUUGCCUGUAGUGGGCCUAGCCCAAGGGACUGGAAGAGAUCAUUAAGUGGUGAUUGCCAUCAAACCUAUUGACUCUUAUAUUGCCUUUUAUUUCAAUAUACUGGACUUGUCUGAUUUAACUAGAAUAUUAUUUUUAAAAAUACAUAGACCA
rnacentral:lncRNA from 1 species